rnacentral:rRNA from 1 species
AAUUAUUAUCAGGAAACGACUGCUAAGACUGGAUAGGAGACAAGAAGGCAUCUUCUUGUUUUUAAAAGACCUAGCAAUAGGUAUGCUUAGGGAGGAGCUUGCGUCACAUUAGUUAGUUGGUGGGGUAAAGGCCUACCAAGACUAUGAUGUGUAGCCGGGCUGAGAGGUUGAAUGGCCACAUUGGGACUGGGACACGGCCCAAACUCCUACGGGAGGCAGCAGUAGGGAAUUUUCGGCAAUGGAGGAAACUCUGACCGAGCAACGCCGCGUGAACGAUGAAGUAUUUCGGUACGUAAAGUUCUUUUAUUAGGGAAGAAUAAAUGAUGGAAAAAUCAUUCUGACGGUACCUAAUGAAUAAGCCCCGGCUAACUAUGUGCCAGCAGCCGCGGUAAUACAUAGGGGGCAAGCGUUAUCCGGAAUUAUUGGGCGUAAAGGGUGCGUAGGCGGUUAAAUAAGUUUAUGGUCUAAGUGCAAUGCUCAACAUUGUGAUGCUAUAAAAACUGUUUAGCUAGAGUAAGAUAGAGGCAAGUGGAAUUCCAUGUGUAGUGGUAAAAUGCGUAAAUAUAUGGAGGAACACCAGUAGCGAAGGCGGCUUGCUGGGUCUUUACUGACGCUGAGGCACGAAAGCGUGGGGAGCAAACAGGAUUAGAUACCCUGGUAGUCCACGCCGUAAACGAUGAGUACUAAACGUUGGGUAAAACCAGUGUUGAAGUUAACACAUUAAGUACUCCGCCUGAGUAGUACGUACGCAAGUAUGAAACUUAAAGGAAUUGACGGGACUCCGCACAAGCGGUGGAUCAUGUUGUUUAAUUCGAAGGUACCCGAAAAACCUUACCGGGUCUUGACAUGCUUCUGCAAAGCUGUAGAAACACAGUGGAGGUUAUCAGUUGCACAGGUGGUGCAUGGUUGUCGUCAGCUCGUGUCGUGAGAUGUUGGGUUAAGUCCCGCAACGAGCGCAACCCUUAUUGUUAGUUACCAGCACGUAAUGGUGGGGACUUUAGCAAGGCUGCCAGUGAUAAAUUGGAGGAAGGUGGGGACGACGUCAAAUCAUCAUGCCCCUUAUGACCUGGGCUACAAACGUGAUACAAUGGCUGUUACAAAGGGUAGCUGAAGCGCAAGUUUUUGGCGAAUCUCAAAAAAACAGUCUCAGUUCGGAUUGAAGUCUGCAACUCGACUUCAUGAAGUUGGAAUCGCUAGUAAUCGCGAAUCAGCAUGUCGCGGUGAAUACGUUCUCGGGGUUUGUACACACCGCCCGUCAAUCA